ACGACCUCAUCUCUCUUCUUAUCAAACCCUACACUUUCUCCUCCUCCUCCACUAGUGCCUCUGCCGGAAACCAAACAGAAGCUUGAUAUAUCUGUGCAUUUUUCGCUCCAAAAUUUGUUUGUGCCUGUCUCUCGCAGAUGUGUGCAAGAAGUUCUUCCACCUGCUCUUGAUUCUACUUCAGACCCACCUGCAAUCUUCGAUGGGACGACAAGGCUGUACAUUUCCUACAUAUGCCCAUAAGCCCAACGUGCGUGGAUUACCCGAAACUGUAAGGGAUUGCAGGAGAAGAUAAAAUUGGUUCCUAUUGAUCUACAAAAUAGGCCAACUUGGUACAAGGAGAAAUUUUACCCGCCGAACAAGGUGAAAUUAUUCUAAUGCAGUCUGUGCUUUAUGGGUAUUUCAAUGAAUGAUGUAUAUGAAAUUGUUCCAAAUGGUUUUAUAUGAUGCAAAAUGAAAUUCUCUGAUUAUAUAGUAGAAGAGUCAAAGUGAAUUACAAUAGAAUGGCUUCAUUGCUUGAAUAUUACAGAUUUACAAAAACUUGAUGGCUUAAUUUUAAGUGAAACUUGUGAGAAUUUAGAAAUCUUACAACUCGGUUAUGAGCCAAACAAUGGAUAGUUCUGACAAGAAGAUGAAAUUGAGAUGAGA